UAGCUACUGACAUUAAGACAUUUAUGGUAAUGUCAAAGCUGAGCUACUGGACAGCACGGUUUGCCAAGAAUUCUCGUUUUUAGUUGCCAACAUGACUUUUGGAUCCUGAAACUAUGGCUUGGGAUUAUCUAUCCCAAUUUGAUGAUAAAGGAUCUAGAUUUAUUUGCUACUGCAGUAUGCAUGCUAGCAAAACAUUAACGUUUUUCAUAAUUAUUUUAUUUUUCAUCAAAAAUUAGUAAAUAAUAUUCUAUUUGGAUAUAAGCAUGAUAAAGCAUCAUUCAUCAUGUGUAUUGUCUAAGCAUCAAUUGUAGUGUCUUCUUAAUGUUAAUUUUCAAC